rnacentral:rRNA from 1 species
UACGUAGGGGGCAAGCGUUGUCCGGAUUUACUGGGCGUAAAGGGCGUGCAGGCGGUCUGUUAAGUUCAGGGUGAAAGCUCCCGGCUCAACUGGGAGAGGUCCUUGGAUACUGGCAGACUUGAGGGAGGUAGAGGAGAGUGGAAUUCCCGGUGUAGUGGUGAUAUGCGUAGAUAUCGGGGAGGAACACCAGUGGCGAAGGCGGCUCUCUGGGCCUUUCCUGACG